UUUCUUCACUCAAUCGAAGUAGUUUUCCGACAGGCUUCGUUUUUGGAACAGCAUCAGCAGCAUACCAGUACGAAGGUGCUGCAAAAGAAGAUGGAAGAGGACUAAGUAUGUGGGAUGUAUUCACCCACAAAUAUCCAGAGAAAAUAAAGGAUAAAAGUAAUGGAGACGUAGCAGUUGAUCAGUAUCAUCGCUAUAAGGGAGAUAUUCAUAUAAUGAAGAAUAUGAAUCUGGAUGCUUACAGAUUCUCCAUCUCUUGGUCCAGAAUCCUACCAAAAGGAAAGCUGAGUGGAGGUAUAAAUCAGGAAGGAAUCGAUUAUUACCACAACCUCAUCGAUCAUUUGCUACUCAACGGUAUACAACCAUAUGUGACACUUUUUCACUGGGAUAUUCCUCAAGCUUUACAAGAAGACUACGGUGGUUUCUUAAGUCCUCUCAUUGUAAAUGAUUUUCAAGACUAUGCGGAACUUUGUUUCGAAGAAUUUGGAGAUAAGGUGAAACAUUGGAUUACUUUAAACGAGCCAUGGUCUUUUAGUAGGGGUGGUUAUGCACUUGGGAGCUUUGCACCAGGUCGAUGUUCCCAAUGGUUAAAUCCAGAAUGCACUGGUGGUGAUUCAGGAACAAAACCUUAUGUAAUUUCACAUUAUCAACUACUUUCUCAUGCAGCAGCUGUUCAAGUGUACAAGAAAAAGUAUCAGGAAUCUCAAAGGGGAGUGAUAGGCAUAACACAUGUGUCUCAUUGGUUUGAGCCAUUUUCAAAUACCACAUCAGAUAAAGAAGCUGCUCAACGAGCUCUUGACUUUAUGUAUGGAUGGUACAUGGAACCAUUGACAUCAGGAAAGUAUCCAAAGAGCAUGCGUUCCUUAGUUGGUAAAAGAUUACCAGAAUUCACUAAAGAAGAAGCAAAACUUCUUGUUGGUUCAUUUGAUUUUCUUGGAUUAAACUAUUACACCACUUACUAUGCUGCCGAUGCACCCAAAACCAAACCUAAUUAUGAAACAGAUUGCAAGGCCAAUCUUUCAUCUAUUCGUAAUGGCGUUCCAAUAGGUCCAUCGAGCGGUUCUAGUUGGUUAUACGUUUAUCCUAAAGGAAUUAGAGAAUUGUUGCUCUAUACAAAAGAAAAGUACAACAUUCCUUUGAUUUACAUAACUGAAAAUGGUGUAAGUGAAUUGGACGAACCGACAGUAUCGUUAAGGAAAUCCCUUUACGAUAAACAUAGAGUUCACUACUAUUAUCACCAUCUCUAUUAUAUAAAUUCGGCAAUUAGGGAUGGCGUAAACAUAAAAGGAUAUUUUGCAUGGUCAUUGUUGGACAACUUCGAAUGGAAUGAUGGUUAUGCAGUACGCUUUGGAAUUCACUUUGUGGAUUAUAAGGAUGGCUUAAAACGAUAUGAAAAACUCUCUG
rnacentral:sRNA from 1 species